rnacentral:lncRNA from 1 species
AUGCACGGAUCGGGAGCAGCUCCGGGCUUUGUGCGCUGCUGCUUUCUCGGCAAAUCUGCCUGCACACCGCUCCCACAGCCCCCGGACCCCCAGCCCCGGCCAUGGGCUCGCCCAACCGCGCAGUGCCCCCGCUCAACACCCGCUGCCGUCAUGUCAGCACGCGGCCGGCACCCUAACAGCACUUCAGCUGUUGAGUUCUCCGCCGUCUUCGCUCGGCUUUGGGUCUCACAAAACCAAACGAGAGCGGCGGCUCCGCAGCCCCACGCACGGACACGCCGGGUGCGGGAACCCACGGGGCUGGGCACCGCGGUUCUGGGGAGGCACUUUCCAGCCCUCAAGCGUGCCAAGUGCGGCCCGCAGCGAGCGUAGCCGCUCCCAGGCGAGCUGCGGGCGGCUGCACCCCUGGGGAGCGCGGUGCCGGGAAGUUAGCGAGCAGCAUCUGUUGAUUAACCAGCGGCUCGCAGCAGGGCUCGGAGCGGGAGAUAAGGGCCGGCAAUGAUUGACCGCCUGCCCCUCCCGCCCCGGCUGCGGGCAGGGCUGCGGGGGAGCCUCCAGCUGCCGCCUCCUCCUCCUCCGAAAAUACAUCCCAAUAGGAAAAAAAAAAAAUUCCAAAGUGAUUUCUCAGUCUCCUCUUUCCUCCCCUGUCUGGCACUUGUGAUCAUUAGCACUGAAAGCUGUUAAUGUCUUGUCUCACAGCUCCCCCUUUAGUCUCUCUGCUCUCCCUGUCUCGCGUUCAAAGCCAGAUCAAUAGCAGCCUCUCUCUAACCUUGACCUGUCCCCCGACCCGCCUGCAGCUGCAGCUGCCCUGACGCUGUGCUUCCCCCCACACCUCCCGCCGCAGAGGGGCCGGGUCUUUGGGGGCUGCCCCGAGCAUCGCCCCGCUCUGUGCCUCCGUGGGUGCCGGGCACGAACCGCAGCCGGGAAAGGGCCGUGCGCUGUGCACCCGCCCUGUGUCCCCCUGGCCCAGCACCGCCGCCUGCCCAAAGCCGGGAGUCGCUGCUCCUUAUAAAAAAAAAAAUGGGCAAAAAAAGCAAAGAGGCAAAACUAGAGCAUAACCCGCAAGAAGAGAGCAAGCUUUGGGCUAGCUCUCAGGAUGCUAUUUGGUGCUUGUGCCUUGUUUUAAAUUAGAAAGGAAAAACACCAGCAUGCACCAAAUAACUAGAAUUAAGGUAAUCAUUGUAUUGAGGCAGUCAUCUCAUCCGUCUGCCCAAUACACCGAGGGUUUGAAGAGUUCC